rnacentral:rRNA from 2 species
GACUACCCGCUGAACUUAAGCAUAUCAAUAA